rnacentral:rRNA from 1 species
AGUGAACGCUGGCGGUAGGCCUAACACAUGCAAGUCGAACGGCAGCACAGUAAGAGCUUGCUCUUACGGGUGGCGAGUGGCGGACGGGUGAGGAAUACAUCGGAAUCUACUUUUUCGUGGGGGAUAACGUAGGGAAACUUACGCUAAUACCGCAUACGACCUACGGGUGAAAGCAGGGGAUCUUCGGACCUUGCGCGAUUGAAUGAGCCGAUGUCGGAUUAGCUAGUUGGCGGGGUAAAGGCCCACCAAGGCGACGCUCCGUAGCUGGUCUGAGAGGAUGAUCAGCCACACUGGAACUGAGACACGGUCCAGACUCCUAAGGGAGGCAGCAGUGGGGAAUAUUGGACAAUGGGCGCAAGCCUGAUCCAGCCAUACCGCGUGGGUGAAGAAGGCCUUCGGGUUGUAAAGCCCUUUUGUUGGGAAAGAAAAGCAGCAGGUUAAUACCCCGCUGUUCUGGCGGUACCCAAAGAAUAAGCACCGGCUAACUUCGUG